rnacentral:lncRNA from 1 species
UAAUUUUCUUUUUUUUUUUUUUUUUUUUUUUUUUUUUUUUUUUUAUUUUUUAAACAAGUUUUAGAUGGAUUUGCCGAUCGAGAUAUUUUUGUUCCUUUUAUGGAUCUUAACUAAUUGUAAAAAGGAGUAAACAACAACAUCAUUAAAAUCAAAUAUUAAGCAUGCAUGGUAUUAUAUUAAUAUAAUAAAAAAUGAUGACAAAAAAACAAAAAAAGGCCUACAAAUAUACCAUUUUCAUGGCCUAAAAAAAGCAACACCAUGUUGCAUCAAUUCCACACUACACAUAUUACAUAUUACAUACGGCAAAUAUGGACACCUCAACCCAUACCAAAAAGAUUAUCAUAAAUAAGUGUUGAUUGUUCCAAACCUAAACUAGACCAUGUCACUGCAAAGACAACAACUUGUCAACCAUUUCAGCUCCCCAUAUUGUAACAAGAUUAUCAUAAAAAGCAGCCUUCUUGUCCUUGUCUAUAUUCGAUAUUUACAACAAAACUUCAAAACGCAUCUCCCGCGGCAGCGACGGAUCAAAUCUGAAACUCCUUGCGAGGAUCAGUAAUAGGUAGACCCUCCUCUGGAUCCUCGUUUGCUACUCUUACUAC